CCUCCGGGAUCCCCCCCACCCACGCCUCGGCUCCCAGCGCGCGCCCCGGGCCCUCCAUGUGGCCGUGGCCUUCAAUCUGCCCGUUCCUCGGCUGGGGGAGGGGGCGCUAGGUUUACGCUGCCGGGUUCCUUCGCUUCUCCGCUCCCUACCCCCCACGUCCCAAAGGCCGAGAGGCGACAGUUCUCCCGGCACUGGAUACGGCCCACCCCCGCACCUCACUCCCGCCAGGUGCGAGCGACUGGCGAGGCCACCGAAGCUCAGCGCUUCUCCGCAGCGCGCGGGGUACAAGCUUCAGGAGGACGAAGGAUAUCACCUCUCUUGUUCAUUCCUGUAUCUUCAGCAUCUAACACAGUGCCAGGCAUAUGAACAGUGUGACCCCGUCCAGCAGUGAAUCAUGGCCAACUGAAUGUCAAACAACUCCAUCCUGUCUCUUGAAAAGGAGCUAAGCAUGCGGUGGGUGGAGAGGGCAAGGG